rnacentral:rRNA from 1 species
CGGGUGUAAAGCACUUUCAGUAGGGAGGAAGGUAGUGUAGUUAACACCUGCACUAUUUGACGUUACCUACAGAAGAAAGCACCGGCUAACUCCGUGCCAGCAGCCGCGGUAAUACGGAGGGUGCGAGCGUUAAUCGGAAUUACUGGGCGUAAAGCGCAUGCAGGCGGCCUGUUAAGUCAGAUGUGAAAGACCCGGGGCGUUAACCUCGGAAUUGCAUUUGAAACUAGGCAGGCUAGAGUCUUGUAGAGGGGGGUAGGAAUUUCAGGUGUAGCGGUGAAAUAGCGUAGAGAUCUGAAGGAAUACCAGUGGCGAAGGCGGCCCCCUGGACAAAGACUGACGCUCAGAUGCGAAAGCGUGGGGAGCAAACAGGAUUAGAUACCCUGGUAG